UCCGGGUUGGACCCGGCGGUCCCGCCAGACGUGGUAACUGGCGGCGGGGGUUGCGCUCGUUGCGGGACUUAACCCAACACCUCACGGCACGAGCUGACGACAGCCGUGCAGCAUCUGCGCGCGCUCCCUCGCGGGUCCUCGCCGUUUCCGGUCCGUACCACGCGCAUGUCAAGCCCAGGUAAGGUUCUUCGCGUUGCGUCGAAUUAAACCACACGCUCCGCUGCUUGUGCGGGCCCCCGUCAAUUCCUUUGAGUUUUAGCCUUGCGGCCGUAGUCCCCAGGCGGGGCACUCACUGCGUUAGCGCCGGCACCGGGGGGGUCGAUACCCCCGACACCUCGUGCCCAUCGUUUACGGCGUGGACUAC
rnacentral:misc_RNA from 1 species